rnacentral:rRNA from 1 species
AGAGUUUGAUCCUGGCUCAGAACGAACGCUGGCGGCAGGCCUAACACAUGCAAGUCGAUCGAGCCCUUCGGGGCGAGAGGCGCACGGGUGAGUAACACGUGGGAACCUACCUUGGAGUACGGAACAACCGAGGGAAACUUCGGCUAAUACCGUAUACGCCCUACGGGGGAAAGAUUUAUCGCUCCGAGAUGGGCCCGCGUCCGAUUAGCUAGUUGGUGAGGUAACGGCUCACCAAGGCGACGAUCGGUAGCUGGUCUGAGAGGAUGAUCAGCCACACUGGGACUGAGACACGGCCCAGACUCCUACGGGAGGCAGCAGUGGGGAAUUUUUGACAAUGGGCGCAAGCCUGAUCCAGCCAUGCCGCGUGUGUGAAGAAGGCCUUCGGGUUGUAAAGCUCUUCAGACGGGAAGAUGAUGACGGUACCGUCAGAAGAGACCGAAUUGACCG